UACAGAGGGUGCGAGCGUUGUUCGGAAUCAUUGGGCGUAAAGCGCUUGUAGGCGGCCUGUCAAGUCGCGUGUGAAAUCCCUUGGCUUAACCAAGGAAGUGCGCGCGAAACUGGCGGGCUUGAGUGCCGGAGAGGGUCGCGGAAUUCCCGGUGUGGAGGUGAAAUUCGUAGAUAUCGGGAGGAACACCAGUGGCGAAGGCGGCGACCUGGACGGACACUGACGCUGAGACGCGAAAGCGUGGGGAGCAAACAGG
rnacentral:rRNA from 1 species